rnacentral:rRNA from 1 species
ACUCCUACGGGAGGCAGCAGUGGGGAAUAUUGCACAAUGGGGGAAACCCUGAUGCAGCCAUGCCGCGUGUGUGAAGAAGGCCUUCGGGUUGUAAAGCACUUUCAGUAGGGAGGAAGGUAGUGUAGUUAACACCUGCAUUAUUUGACGUUACCUACAGAAGAAGCACCGGCUAACUCCGUGCCAGCAGCCGCGGUAAUACGGAGGGUGCGAGCGUUAAUCGGAAUUACGUGGGCGUAAAGCGCAUGCAGGCGGCCUGUUAAGUCAGAUGUGAAAGCCCGGGGUCUUAACCGUCGGAAUUGCAUUUGAAACUGGCAGGCUAGAGUCUUGUAGAGGGGUUAGAAUUUCAGGUGUAGCGGUGAAAUGCGUAGAGAUCUGAAGGAAUACCGAGUGGCGAAGGCGGCCCCUGGACAAAGACUGACGCUCAGAUGCGAAAGCGUGGGAGCAAACAGGAUUAGAUACCCCGUGGUAGCGACUGAUAA